rnacentral:lncRNA from 1 species
AAGAAUAGCGAUGUUAGUAUGUCCGAGUCUAUCCCGGCAGGAAACUUUUGGCACGAAUUUCAAACAGUGAAAAGGAGAAAAAAAAUUAGGUCGGUCAGGUUAGGUGUCGGCGAUAAGAAAAGAGAUUGCGGGAGCAUCCCCAGCCUUCUUCUUUCCCCUUUUGCCGCCCCCACACACUCCCCCCACGCGUCUAUCACGGAAGCAACACAGAGGAGCGCACACGCACCACUCACACCUCCAACUAUUGACUGUUGUAUCAGGUGUUCUAACCGGGAUGUGACAGUUGAGGCUGGGAGCAGAAAUAAUCAACAUGCCCAUUAGAUACAGGACGGAAUAAUGCUUCUAUUGGUUGGGUCCCUUCGAGAGAGAACCAUUCUCUGCUUUCAAUAGGACAGAAGAGCUCCUUGGCACUGGAUGCCUCCGGGUCUGGUUGAGAGAGGAAUGGUUAGGAGACUGUUCUGAGGAUACGCAGACAUCAUCCAAAGCUUCCUACAUUCAGAUGAGGACAGAGGUUGGGCCAGAGCUUUGUAAGCUUGUUACCUAAGGAUGGUUCUGACCAUGUAAGCAGAUCACAGAAGCUAUUCACAGAUCAUCAUCAGCCAGAGGUGACUUCUGUUGCUUGCAGCUCAGAAUCCUAGAUGUUUCCGGUGGCACUGAAGAGCCUCUGCUGAAGCUCUAUACCAUUUGCCAUUUACAAAGGGAAAUGAAAUAAUAACGCUGACCAUUUGUGGAGCACAUUCUGUCUGGAGGCAAAGGAUGCCAAGAUGGGAAAGCCACAUAAUGGAAGGAUCCUGGAUUUCAGAGCUGUCACUUGGAGGAGGGGCACCCAGUGAAGGUGUCUUAUCUAACCCACACCAUAUCUUCAUGAAGUGGCCAUAUGGAUUUGAUCCCUAUCCUUCAGAGGU